UACGAAGGGGGCUAGCGUUGCUCGGAAUCACUGGGCGUAAAGCGCACGUAGGCGGACUCUUAAGUCGGGGGUGAAAUCCUGGAGCUCAACUCCAGAACUGCCUUCGAUACUGAGAGUCUUGAGUCCGGUAGAGGUGAGUGGAACUGCGAGUGUAGAGGUGAAAUUCGUAGAUAUUCGCAAGAACACCAGUGGCGAAGGCGGCUCACUGGCCCGGUACUGACGCUGAGGUGCGAAAGCGUGGGGAGCAAACAGG
rnacentral:rRNA from 1 species